CUUUUGGAUUUAUCAGUUCAUAGGAAUUCAUGGUCCCCUGUUGUCACCUAAGAACCAAGUAAGGGAGGGAUCUGUCAUGAAAGCUAAGACAGGCUCUCAAGUGAACCUUAUAUUUGUUGAACAUUUAUCUCCAACCCUGCCCCUCUCCACCACAGCCCUGGCUCUCCAAUCACAGCCCUGG